rnacentral:rRNA from 1 species
AUUGAACGCUGGCGGCAGGCCUAACACAUGCAAGUCGAACGAGUGGCGGACGGGUGAGUAAUGUCUGGGAAACUGCCUGAUGGAGGGGGAUAACUACUGGAAACGGUAGCUAAUACCGCAUACCAUCGGAUGUGCCCAGAUGGGAUUAGCUAGUAGGUGGGGUACCGGCUCACCUAGGCGACGAUCCCUAGCUGGUCUGAGAGGAUGACCAGCCACACUGGAACUGGGACACGUUCCAACGUCCUACGGGAGGCAGCAGGGGGGAAUAUUGCACAAUGGGCGAAAGCCUGAUGCAGCCAUGCAGCGUGUAUGAAGAAGGCCUUCGGGUUGUAAAGUCCUUUAAGCGGGGAGGCGUUACCCGCAGAAGAAGCACCGGCUAACUCCGUGCCAGCAGCCGCGGUAAUUC